UACGUAGGGACCGAGCGUUGUCCGGAAUCAUUGGGCGUAAAGAGCGUGUAGGCGGCUUGCUAAGUCUUGCGUGAAAUCUCGGGGCUCAACCCCGAGCGGUCGUGGGAAACUGGCGGGCUAGAGUGCGGGAGAGGAGAAUGGAAUUCCUGGUGUAGCGGUGAAAUGCGCAGAUAUCAGGAAGAACACCCGUGGCGAAGGCGGUUCUCUAGUACGGUACUGACGCUGAGACGCGAAAGCGUGGGGAGCGAACAGG
rnacentral:rRNA from 1 species